AUGUCUCCGGGUCUAACAAUGACAAUGUUUGGUUUGUUUUAUUUCCAAGACGGCUCCGUUAGAGCAGAAAAUACAUCCGUCAUACGUGAUGCAUACAGAAAUAAAAAAAUAAUGGUUAACUGCAGGGAAGACCUCGAGUCGGAGCAGGGCUGGAUAGAGGUAAUUUGGCCUACACAACGGCGACAACAAGAGGCGAAGCCUAUUGCAGCCAAAUUGCUUUUCGUUGGAGAAGUCUACCAAGAACUUGCCCAAAAGCGUGACUCAUUUAGCCGAGGGGAGGAAAUAUGGUCUGUUCCAGUGUCCCAGAAAAAAAGCAGAAAGACAGGAAAUCAAGCAAAGGAGGUGGUAACCUUACGGAAUCAAGCCACGACAUCUGGUUCACAGGCGGCAACUUCCAUGUGCGACCAGCUUAAGAGCUACCUCCAUCCAUCUACUCUGCUCCAGAUUGGUCUGAUGACUCGGAUGAAACAUCCUGUGAUUAUUUGGGCCGUUCAAAAUGCGGAAGGUGGUACUGACCAGUGA
rnacentral:lncRNA from 1 species